AUGGACCAAUCCAUCCCUUUUUCCCGUGCAUAUGCAUCGGACUCGGAUGACGAUGGUCCCGAUGAAGAAGUUGAUGAGGAGGGGUUCACGCCGAAGGAGGCCCAAGCAUUCAAGAAGGUAUUCAGGAAGGAUCACAAGACACCCUUGUUCAAGGAUCUUAGUCUCGCGGAUGAAGCCGUUGUGGAUGGUGGCAAAUGCAUAUCUCUUGGAGCUAGGCCAAGUUCUCAC
rnacentral:rRNA from 1 species